UAUUGUCAUAUGUCCUCUCUCUGUUGUUAGUGGAUGGGAGAAAGAGUUACAAAGAGCAUCACCUCAGUUAAGAGUUUUUAAUUUUUGUGGAGAUAAAGAAAUGAGAGGCUCAAAACAAGAAGAAAUAAUUUUGCAUUGUUACAAAAGUGGUGCUAUGAUCGAUCCUCCUUUUGAUAUACUUCUUGUUCAUUAUGAGAUUGUUCUUAAAG